rnacentral:lncRNA from 1 species
GGGUCCAUGACAAUAUCGUAAUUGGAAAUGAGCCGUAUGUCUCCAGCACACGCAAAGAACCAGGAUGCCUUGUUGUGAAUCUUGCUUGUCGUGGCUGUGGUUCCACACUCGGAAUCAUGUACACAUCAACCCCAAAAGAGCUGGAUUUCAAGAGAUCGUAUUUCUGCUUUGGUGUAGAAAAUAUUGAGAGUUAUGUAUUAGGGUCUGCUGACCAGCAGGUGGCAGUGGUGGACAGUAAAGACAUGCCAGUGACACUGGAGCUACAGGAAAUUGUUGAGCAGCAAAUGAUAAAGAUCAAAGCUCUGGCAGUGACGAUAGGACACAGACUCAUGGAGAUUGAGCUUGACCUCCAGACUAAGUCAGAAAGCUAAUAUGGGCUGCACUUAGCUAAACGAUGCUAAUCAGGUCCUGUGCUCUUUGUCUUUCCUUUAGUUAGAUAAAAAGGUUCUGUGUGUUGUUUUGUUUAUGUAUACGUUCUGUCUCUCUCUUUUUGUCAUCACUUUCCUCAUGUUUCUUGCUGGUUUGGUUGUAUUAGGCAUGUUUGACUGAACAUUUGAUUUAAAAUAACACAUUUUUGUAA